rnacentral:lncRNA from 1 species
GGGUGUUUGGUCUCGACUAGAAUGCUAUCAAUAGUCCCAAGUUACUGAUAUUAUUAAUUUUUUAGUCAUUAAAUUGAGAAAUGUACGGAUAAAAUGAUAUAAGCUUUCUAUAGUUGAGUAGGUGGUUAAAUAGUAUAAUCUAAUAGAUAAAAAUAAUCAAACGGUGGAAAACUCGAUAGCACAAUCCUUGGUGCUAUCGAUAGUAUCUAAGCCGAACUCCUACAAAAAUAAUUUCUACAGAAUUAAUUUUGAUUUAAAAUUUUAAUUUUGAUUAAAGCUGUAGAGUGAUUUUUGUAGAAUUAAUUUUGGUUUGAAGAAUUAAUUUUGAUUAAAAUCUGUAUAGAUAGGUUGAAUUUAGAUAAAAGCAUUUUUUAAAAGUGAUUUUGUAAAACUAUUUAGCAAUUUUUUUUUGAUAUUUGCAUAUAUUAAUAUUUUACCAAAUUUUAUUUUAAAAUAAUUUAAAUUUUAAAUUUAAAUUUGAAUUAAAAUUUUUAAUUUUCAAAUUUGUACAAAAUUUAAAAUUUGUUAUUUUAAUUUAAAAUAUAAAUUUAAAAGGCCAAUUUGCAUAAAAAAAUUCACUAGUUUUGAGUUUUUGUAAAAAUAUGCCAUCUUUUUGAAUUUUGCAGAUUUAGGCCGAAUUUUUAGAAAUUGACCAAAAUAUCCUUGUUUCUUUUUAUCUCUCCUUUUUUUUUUUUCUCCCGUUCUUUUUUUUUUUCUCUCCCUAGAGGGCAGCGAAGGCGGAGGCGGAGGAGGCCCGCUUCGCCUCUACCCGGUGCACCCUUACCCUCGCCUGCGCACUCCCGCCGCCUUCCUCGCCUCCGACCUUGCGAAGGCCGUGUUGCAACCCUCUUUCCUUUUUUUUUUUUCUUUCCGACCCUCCUCCAUCGCCUCCUUGACUCUUUACGACAGUAAAGAGGGUAACAAAGCGUCCUCUCACUCCUGUUUUUUUAGCUCGUUCUUUUGCAAAGUUACACUAUUUCUAUUGCAAAGUUAUACUCUUUAAACUGGCCAAUUUUGCAAAUUGUAAUUUUUUAUGCAAAUUGGCCAAUUUUGUUUCUGGAAGUUAUAUUAUCCUUAAUCUAGCAAUUCCUAAUAAUCUUCUUUUAUAAUGUCAAUUAUACACCCAUUUAUAAAUGGUCUUAAAUAUUCUGUGCCAAAUAUUAGUCAAUUAUAUGACAAAGAAUAUGAUGUAAGAUUUGAAGCAGUUCCUGUAGCAAUGUUAAAAGUAUAUAGUAAGAAUACGUUGUAAUCUUUUAAAAUUUUAAUUUUACUGCCAAACAUUACAAUUUUUUUAAUUUAAAUCAAUCAAUAAUACUUUGACUUGCAAAUUUAAACUAAUUGCUUUAAUAAAUUUAUAAUUAUAAAAAUUAUGUAAAACAUAUUAAUUAAACCUANGGGAGAGGCUGGAGGGGCUCGUUAAUUGCUAUGGUUGGUGGUGGUGGUGGAAUGGAGGACGAGCGUUCCAGUAGUAGUAAUAUGUAGUUUGUUGAAGUCAAAGAUGGAGUUGGGAGAGUGAUUUAUAUAAGCGGACGGCUUUCUGGACUCGAGUCGUUUCAACUGUACAUUGUUGCCGGGCUUCUUUUUCACUUUAGAAAAGUUUAAACUUUAAACUACUGCGGCUUUGUGGACUGCCGUACGAAUUAAAAGAAAAAAUAAUUUUGUUUCUCGUAAGAGUGUUUGGUCUCGACUUGAAUGCUAUCAAUAGUCCCAAGUUAUUGAUGUUAUUAAUUUUUUAGUCAUUAAAUUCAGAAAUAUACGGAUAAAAUGAUAUGAGCUCUCUAUAGUUGAAUAGGUGGUUAAAUAGUAUAAUCUAAUAGAUAAAAAUAAUCAAAAAAUUAAAUUUUACGGUGGAAAACUCGAUAGCACAAUCCUUGGUGCUAUCGAUAGUAUCUAAGCCGAACUCCUACAAAAAUGAUUUCUACAGAAUUGAUUUUGAUUUAAAAAAUUAAUUUUGAUUAAAGCUGUAGUGUGAUUUUUGUAGAAUUAAUUUUGGUUUGAAGAAUUAAUUUUGAUUAAAAUCUGUAUAGAUAGGUUGAAUUUAGAUAAAAGCAUUUUUUAAAAGUGAUUUUGUAAAACUAUUUGGCAAUUUUUUUUUGAUAUUUGCAUAUAUUAAUAUUUUACCAAAUUUUAUUUUAAAAUAAUUUAAAUUUUAAAUUUAAAUUUGAAUUAAAAUUUUUAAAUUUUAAAUUUGUACAAAAUUUAAAAUUUGUUAUUUUAAUUUAAAAUAUAAAUUUAAAAUGCCAAUUUGCAUAAAACAAAUUCACUAGUUUUGAGUUUUUGUAAAAGUAGGCCACCUUUUUGGAUUUUGCGGAUUUGGGUCGAAUUUUUAGAAAUUGACCAAAAUAUCCUUAUUUUCUUUUA